rnacentral:lncRNA from 1 species
AUCAAUGUCAUAGCAAAUCCUGCGAGCAUAAUCAGCUACCGUACAACAUAGUCGUUGUAGCCAAGAUUACACUUAACUCAUGGUACAUGCCAAUGUCAUGCUGACUUACUUGCUUCAGAUGAAAGGAAUGUUGCGGGACGACAACUUUUUUCUUUUGUAUGAAAGGGGUUCCCCCCCCCCCAUUUUAUUAAAAUGAAGCAACAUUGUCUUACAAACCCUCAAAAGCCACUAAAGAAUAACUAAACAAACCAUAACCUAGGCAAAAGGCCAGCAGUUAAAAGGUUAUAAACCAACAAACCACAAACUCGGAAGAAACUAUCAGCACCAACACAUAAGGAGCCUUAGAAUGCUUUUAUUAUAGGCCAAAGAAGGAAAAACGAGAGAAGACUACUCGGCUCCUCGAUGGUCUCCCAACGUCAUCUCCACGCGAUCCGAAGCAACUCCCCACGCCUCUUGUUUAGCAACCUGAUAUAGUCCCGCAGAAGAACUACGUGAGCAUCGUUGAAUAGUAUUUUUCAUAAACGUCCAGCUUGGCAAUAAUGCAUUUUACACUUCUCCAAGAUCAACCCUGAAAGCAAAAUUCAUUCCUCGAUUUGCAAAUGCUCCACAAGGAGGCAACAAUCAUCAUGUUUAGUACAACAUUAGUCUUAGGACUACCCCACAACAAAGUAACAUCAUCAAAGCUUGAAAUUUCUGGAUUGUUAAACACCGAAGAGAUAAAUCCCCAAAGUUGUUUAGCAACCACACAAUCAAAGAACAGGUGUUGCACUGAUUACUUACACCUACAAAAGAGACAAGUAGGAUCUUCCACCGGUCUACAUUUUUCAAGGUUAUCUCUAGUUAAAACUUUAUUAUAGACACAUAACCAUAAAAAACAUGUAUUUUUUGUGGACAUACCACCUUCCAAAGACUAUCACCAAUGGUAGAUACCGCACCCCAAAAUUAAUUUGCUCAUAGAAAGACUUAACUGACUAAAUGCCAUUUGACUCCAGUUUCCACACAUGAGAAUCAGGUUCUCUUGAGAGAGGGGUUUGUUUCACCACCUCAACAACCGAUCCCAAAGUGUUAACCCUACCUGAUCCACACAUCUCCGGAAUGUCAGUCUUAGGACCGUCACGUCCCAAACUUGAGCCACUAUACAAUCUGUCCGAUUACAAAUUUCAAAUAAUUUCUAGAAUUGCACCUUAAGGGAACAGUCCCCAGCCCACACAUCAUGCUAUAAGUUAAUUGAUUCCCCAUUCCCCAACUUCUACUUAUAAAAUAAUUUUGCUCCAGAUAGAGCCCAGGUGACGCUCUUCCAAAAGGUUGAACCAUUCCCACCACCACUCCAAAGAAAAUUUAAAGAAUUAACAUUAUAUUUAUGAGUGAUAAUUUUUUCCAAUCUCUAGCCAACUCGUCCAUGAAUCGCUUCCCUCAUGAGGCCAACAAAGCCAUGUUAAACUCCUUGAUGUUAGGAAUCCAUACCCUCCAAAUUCUUUCGUCAUAGAGAUUUGCCCCCACCUGGCCCAGUGGUAUUUGUGUUUGUCAUCCAAAUCCCCCCAAAUAAAUGAGCCAUUUGGGAAUUGAUAGCAUUAAUAGCCCACUUAGGAAACCUAAUCAUAGACUGGAGGUAAGUGGGAAUGCUAACAAUGCAGGCACAAAGCAGAACAACUUUACCUUUAAAGGUUAAGAACCUCCCCAUCCAGCCAGAAAGAUUCUUAAUGAUUCUAUCUAUAAUUGGCUGAAUAUCUUCACGUCUAAGGUUAUCAUAAUGAAGAGGUACACCUAGAUAUUUAAUAGGGAAAGCUGUUGGAAAUAUGCCCUAGAGGCAAUAAUAAAUUAGUUAUUAUUAUAUUUCCUUGUUCAUGAUAAUCAUUUAUUAUCCAUGCUAUAAUUGUAUUGAUUGGAAACUCAAAUACAUGUGUGGGUAUAUAGACAACACACUGUCCCUAGUGAGCCUCUAAGGACUAGCUCGUUGAUUAAAGAUGGUCAAGGUUUCCUGACCAUAGACAUGAGUUGUCAUUUGAUAAUGGGAUCACAUCAUUAGGAGAAUGAUGUGAUGGACAAGACCCAAACUAUGAAUGUAGCAUGUGAUCGUGUGAGUUUAUUGUUACUGUUUUCUGCAUGUCAAGUAUUUGUUUCUAUGACCAUGAGAUCAUGCAACUCCGGGGCACCGGAGGAAUGCCUUGUGUGUAUCAAACGACACAACGUAACUGGGUGACUAUAAAGAUGCUCUAGAGGUAUCUCUGAAGGUGUCUGUUGGGUUGGCGUGAAUUGAGAAUGGGAUUUGUUACUCCGUACGACGGAGAGGUAUCUCUAGGUCCCACUCGGUAAUACAACAUCACAAUGAGCUUGCAAGCAAUGUGACUAAAGAGUUGGUCACGUGAUCUUUUAUUACGGAACGAGUAAAGAGACUUGCCGGUAACGAGAUUGAACUAGGUAUGGAGAUACCGACGAUCGAAUCUUUGGCAAGUAACGUCCGGAUAGACAAGGGGCAUACGGGAUUAACUGAGUCCUUGACAUAGAGGUUCAACCGAUAAAGAUCUUCGUAGAAUAUGUAGGAGCCAAUAUGGGCAUCCAUGUACCGCUAUUGGUUAUUGACCGGAGAGUGUCUCAGGCCAUCUCUACAUAGUUCUCGAACCCGCACGGUCUGCACACUUAAGGUUUGGUGAUGUUUCGGUAUAAUUGAGUUAUGUAUGUUAGUGACUGAAGGUUGUUCGGAUUCCCGACCCCAAUUUGGUCAUGGCGCGCAGCCCGACCUCAAUUUGGUCAUGGUCGUGGCCCUACCCCAAUUAGGUCAUGGCGCCACUCCUUCCCCUCCCUCCUGUAUAUAGUGGAGAGGAGAGAGGCAGCGAGACCUGAGAAGGUUAUGGCGCGCAGCCGCUCCAAUUAGGUCAUGGUGCAGCUUUCUCUCCCUCCUUUAGUUCGUUUCACCUCUAGAUCGGUUCGGCAGUACACGGUGAAGCCCUGCCGGAUCAGCUUCACCACCAUCGUCGCCAUGCCGUCGUGCUGGCGGAGAACUCCUCUACCUCUCCACCCUUGCUUGCUGGAUCAAGGAGGUGGAGAUCAUCAUCGAGCUGUACGUGUGUUGAACGCGGAGGUGUCGUUUGUUCGGUACUAGAUCGGGAUGGAUCAAAAUGGGAUCAUGGGACGAAUCGUGAUGAGAUCGCGAGACGUACUGCGAUUUGGAUCGCGAAGAUGUUCGACUACAAAAACCGCGUUAUAUACGCUUCCGCUUAGCGAUCUACAAGUGUAUGUGGAUUCAAUCUCUCCUCUCGUAGAUGGUCAUCACCAUGGAUAGAUCUUAUGUGUGCGUAGGAAUUUUUUUGUUUCCCAUGCAACAUUGUCCAACAAUGGUAUUAGAGCUAGGUCUAUCCGUAGAUGACAUCUCGAGUAGAACACAAAGGAGUUUGUGGGCGUUGAUAUUCAGAUUGCUUCCCUCCUUAGUCUUUUCUUGAUUCGGCGAUAUUGUUGGAUGAAGCGUCCCGGGCCAACCAUACUCGUACGGUUACGAGAGACUAGUUCCAUCAACUAACAUGCAACUUGUUGCAUAAAGAUGGUUGGUGGGUGUAUGUUUCUCCUACUUUAGUUGAAUCGGAUUUGACAAAGGCAGUCCUUGGAGAAGGUUAAAUAGCAACUUGUGUAUCACCGUUGUGGUUUUGCGUAGGUAGAAUCGUUCUUGCUAGACACCCAUAGCAGCCACGUAAAACAUGCAACAACAAAUUAGAGGACGUCUAACUUGUUUUUGCAGGGUAUGCAUGUGAUGUGAUAUGGCCAACGACAUGAUGUGAUAUAUUUGAUGUAUGAGAUGAUCAUGUUGUAAUAGUUAAAUAUCGACUUGCAAGUCUAUGCUACGGCAACCGGCAGGAGCCAUAGGGUUGUCUUUAAUUAUUUUACGCUUGGUGAUGCUUUGCUUUAUCGAUAGUUCAGUAGCUUUAGUAGCAACAUCAUAGUUAGUGCAACAACCGCGAUGACAGCACAAUGAUGGAGAUCAUGGUGUGGCGCCGGUGACGAUGGAGAUCAUGCGGGUGCUUUGAAGAUGGAGAUCAAAAGCAGAAGUUCAUGGCCAUAUCAUGUCACUUAUGAUUUGCAUGUGAUAUUAAUCCUUUUAUGCACCUUAUUUUUUAUUAGAACGACGGUAGCAUUAUAAGGUUAUCCCUCACUAAAAUUUCAAGAUAAAAUUGUGUUCUCCCCGAGUGUGCACCGUUGCGAAAGUUCGUCGUUUCGAGACACCACGUGAUAAUCGGGUGUGAUAGACUCCACGUUCACAUACAACGGGUGCAAGACAGUUGCACACGCGGAACACUCGGGUUAAACUUGAUGAGCCUAGCAUGUACAGACAUGGCCUCGGAACACAAGAGAUCGAAAGGUCGAACAUGAGUCAUAUAGUAGAUAUGCUCAACAUAGAUAUGUUCACCAUUGAAGCCAACUUAACCCACGUGAUGAUCAAACUUGAGUUUGUGGAUUUGGGUCAUGUACCACUCGAAUGACCAAAGGGAUGUCAAUUUGAGUGGGAGUUCUUAAGUAAUAUGAUUAAUUAAACUCAUUAUCAUGAACAUAGUCAAAAUUUCUUUGCAGAUUAUGGUGUAGAUGAUUAGCUUGCGUUGUAGCUCCCCUGUUUGUUUUGAUGUGUUCUAGAGAAAAUUAAGUUGAAAGAUGAUAGUAGCAAGUAUGCGGACUAGUUCCGGAAACUGAGGAUUGUCCUCAUUGCUGCAUAGAAGACUUAUGUCCUUAAUGCACCGCUUGGUGAACUGCCCCAAGUGUCGUGUGUAGAUGUUACGAACAUCUGACAUACAUGUUUUGAUGACUACAUGAUAGUUCAGUGCGUCUUGCUUUACGGCUUGGAAUUGAGGCGCCCAAGACGUUUUGAAUGUCACGGAACAUAUAAGAUGUUCCAAGAGCUGAAAUUAGGAUUUCAGGCUUGUGUCCAUGUUGAGAGGUACGAGACCUCCGACAAGAUUCUUUGCCUGCAAAGUAAGGGAGAAAAGUUCAAUCGUUGAGCAUGUGCUCAGAUUCUAUGGGUGUUACAAUCGCUUGAAUCGAGUGGGUGUUGAUCUUCUAGAUAAGAUAGUGAUUGGCUUAGUUCUCCAAAGUCACUGCCACCAAGCUACUGAGCUUCGUGAUGAACUAUAACAUAUGAGGUAUAGAGAUGAUGAUCCCUCGGCUAUUCGCGAUGUUUGACACCGCGAAGGUAGAAAUCAAGUAGGAGCAUCAAGUGUUGAUGGUUUGUAAAACCACUAGUUUCAAGAAGGGCAAAGGGAAUGAAGGGAAACUUGGAUAAUGACACGUCAGUUGUCACUGAAUGAAGAAACCCAAGGUUGAACCCAAACCCGAGAGUAAGUGCUUCUAUGAUGAGGGGAAUAAUCACUAAGGCAGAGCUGUUCUAGACACCCAGCCUGGCAACGUCAACAAAAGUAUAUUGGAUAUUGUGUUAUUGAUGUGUAAUUUACUAGUACUCCUAGUAGCACAUGGGUACAAGAUACCGGUUCAGUUGCUAAAUGUUAGUAACUCAAAAUAAAAGUUACAGAAUAGACGGAGACUAGCUAAAGGCGAGGUGACGAUGUGUGUUGGAAGUGUUUCCAAGGUUAAUGUGAUCACCAUCGCACGCUCCCUCUACCUUCGGGAUUAGUGUUACACCUAAAUAUUGAUUGGUGUUUGCGUUGAGCAUGAACAUGAUUGGAUCGUGUUUAUUGCAAUACGGUUAGUAAUUUAAAGAGAAUAAUGGAUACUCUGUUUACUUGAAUAAAUCCUUCAAUGGUCAUGCACCUAAUAUGAAUGGUUUAUUGAAUCUUGAUCGUACUGGUACACAUGUUCGUAAUAUUGAUACGAAAAGAUACGAAGUAGUAAUUAUAGUACCACUUACUUGUUGCAGUGACGCUUGAGUCAUAUUGGUAUAAAAUGCAUGAAGAAGCUCCAUGAUGAUGGACCUUUGGUCUCACUCGUUUUUGAAUCGUUUGAGACAUGCGAACCAUGCCUAUUGGUGUAAACGCAUGAAGAAACUCCAUGCAGAUGGAUCUUUUGGACUCACUUGAUUUUGAAUCACUUGAGACAUGCAAAUCAUGCCGCAUGGGAAAGAUGACUGAAGGCCUCGUUUUCCAGUGAUAUGGAACGAGAAAGUGACUUAUUGGAAAUAAUACAUUUUGAUGUAUACAGUCCAAUGAGUGCUGAGGCACGCAGUGGAUAUUGUUACGAUCUUACUUCACAGAUAAUUUGAGUAGAUACAUGUGUAUUUACUUGAUGAAUCACGAGUAUGAAUUAUUGAAAAAGUUCAAGUAAUUUCAGAGUGAAGUUGAAGAUCGUCGUGACAGGAUGAUGAAAUAUCUAUGAUGUGAUCGUAGAGAUGAAUAUCUGAAUUGCAAGUUUGGUAUACAUUUAAGAUAAUGUGGAAAUUGUUUCGCAACUCAUGCCACCUGGAACACCAGAGUGUGAUGAUGUGUUCGGACGUCAUAGGCGCGCCCUAUUGGAUAUGGUGCAUAUUAUGAUGUCUCUUAUCGAAUUACCACUAUUGUUUUGGAGUUACUCACUUUAAAUAUGGCACCAUUUAAUUUAGUUGAGAUGGCACCGUAUGAAUUAUGGUUUGGAGAAACCCAAGCCGUCGUUUCUUAAAAAGUUUGGAGCUACAAUGCUUAUGUCAAAGAGCUUCAGCCUGAUAAGCUCGAACCCAAAGCGGAUAAAUGCAUCUUCAUAGGAUACUCAAAAUAGUUGGGUAUACCUCCUAUCUCAGAUCCAAAAGCAAAGUGUUUGUUUCUGAAAAUGGGUCCUUUCUCGAGAAAGAGUUUCUCUCGAAAGAAUUGAAUGGGAGGAUGGUGGAACUUGAUGAGGUUUUUACACCAUCACUUUAACCACAGAGUAGAAGGGUGCGCGAAGUUGUUCCUGUGGAGCCUACACUAGUUGAAGUGGAAGCUGAUGAUAGUGAUCAUGUAGCUUCAGAUCAAGUUACUACCAAACCUCGUAGGCCGACAAGGACACGCACUACUCCAGAGUGGUGCGGUAAUCCUGUCUUGGAGGUCAUGUUGUUGGACAACAAUGAACCUACAAGCUAUGAAGAAGCGAUGGUGGGCCUGGAUUUUGACGAAUAGUUGGACGCCAUGAAAUCUGAGAUAGGAUCCAUGUAUGAAAACAAAGUGUAGAGUUUGGAACCACUACUUGAUGGUCUGAUACGUCUCCAACGUAUCUAUCAUUUUUUAUGAUUCCAUGCUAUUAUCUUGUCAACUUUGGAUGUUUUAUAUGCAUGAAUAUGCUAUUUUAUAUCUUUUUUGGGACUAACCUAUUAACUCAGUGCCAAGUGCGAGUUUCUGUUUUUUCCGUGUUUUUGACAUUUUUCAGAGAAGAAUAUUAAAUGGAGUCCAAACGGAAUAAAACCUGUCGGGUGAUUUUUUCCAUAACAGAAGAUACGCAGGGGACUUGAGAACCAAGGAGGAGACCUCGUGGGAGAUCACAAGCCCCCUAGCCGCGACCUAGGGGGUGGCUGCGCCUGGCAGGCUUGUGGGCUCCAUGUGGCUCCUUUGCCCUACCUCUUUCGCCUAUAAAUUCUCUAAAAUCCUGAAACCAAAAAAGAGAGCCACGAAAAUACUUUUUCGCCGCCGCAAGCUUCUGUCUCCACAAGAUUUCAUCUAGGGACCAUUCUGGAGCCCUGUCGGAGGGGGAUUCGGACACGGAGGGCUUCUUCAUCAACACCAUUGCCUCUCCGAUGAUGCGUGAGUAGUUCACCACACACCUUCGGGUCCAUAGCUAGUAGCUAGAUGGCUUCUUCUCUCUCUUGGAUCUUCAAUACAAAGUUCUCCAUGAUCUUCAUGGAGAUCUAUCUCAUGUAACUUUCUUUUGCGGUGUGUUUGUCGAGAUCCGAUGAAUUGUGGAUUUAUGAUCAGAUUAUCUAUGAAUAUUAUUUGAGUCUCCUCUGAUCUCUUAUAUGCAUAAUUUCGUAUCCUUGUAAUUCUCUUCGAGUUAUGGGUUUCGUUUGGCCAACUUGAUCUACAUUUCUUGAAAUGGGAGAAGUGCUUGGUUUUGGGUUCAUACCGUGCAGUGUCCUCGCCCAGUGAUAGAAAGCGUAGCGAGGCACGCAUCAUGUUGUUGCCAUCAAGGGUAAAAAGAUGGGGUUUAUAUGAUAUUGCAUGAAUCUAUCCCUCUACAUCAUGUCAUCUUGCUUAAGGCGUUACUCUGUUUGUUAUGAACUCAAUACACUAGAUGCAUGCUGGAUAGCGGUCGAUGUGUGGAGUAAUAGUAGUAGAUGCAGAAAGUAUCGGUCUACUUGUCUCGGACGUGAUGCCUAUAUGUAUGAUCAUUGUCUUAGAUAUCAUCAUGACUUUGCGCGAUUCUAUCAAUUGCUCGAGAGUAAUUCGUUCGCCCACCGUAAUACUUGCUAUCAUGAGAGAAGCCUCUAGUGAACACUAUGGCCCCCGGGUCUACUUCACAUCCUAUAUCCAGAUCUACAAAAUUACUUUGUUGCACUUUUCACCUUCAGAUCUCACCUUGCAAAUAAUCAUGAAGGGAUUGACAACCCCUUUUUCGCGUUGGGUGCAAGUUUGUUUGUUUUUGCGCAGGUACAUUGCUGCCUCAUCUUGAUACUCCUAUUGGAUUGAUACAUUGGUUCUCAAACUGAGGGAAAUACUUAUCGCUACUUUGUUGCAUCACCCUUUCCUCUUCAAGGGAAAAACCAACGCAAGCUCAAGAGGUAGCAGGAAGGAUUUCUGGCGCCGUUGCCGGGAAGUAUUCAAAUGAAGCAUAUAUACCAAGUACCUAUCGCAAACUCAUCUCUUGCAUUUAUAUUAUUUGCCAUUUGCCUCUUGUGUUCCUCUUCCCCACUUCUAAAAUGAUUUUCCGAAAAUACCAAAAAGAUUUUUCUUUUUAUUCGCUCUUCUUCCGUUCGCCUUUUUGUUGCUAUGUUUGCUUGUGUUGCCAUGUGCCUUCUAUUUGCUUGCAUCUUCGCUUGCUAAAAAUCUAUUGAUAUGGAUUCUCACCCACUUGCUAAUCUCUUUAAGAGAUCCAAUUAUGUUGAACCAAUUGCUAGUGAUUUUUUUGCACUAGAUUAUCUUUAUGAAGUUUUGCUUGAGAUGCGUGAAUCUAAAAAUUGUGAUGAAGAAAUUUAUGAAGUGAUUCACGAGGGCUCCUUGAAUGAAAAUCAUGAUUGCAAUGGUUUCACUAUAAAUUCUAUUAAUGACAAUCAUGCUAAAAAUAUGCAAAACCCUAAGCUUGGGGAUGAUAGUUUUGUUAUGUCCACUACUUGUUGCAAUGAUCAUGAUUGGGGUGAUGAUUUUUCUUACGAUCUUGAAAAUUUGCUUAAGCCUCAUGAUGAAUAUGAUAUUGAUAAUAAUGUUUGCAAUAAUAUUGAAAGUGGGUUUGGACAAGUCAUGACUUUAGUUGAUGAUAAUCCCACUAUUUUUGAAGAGCGUCAACUUUGCAUGCAUGUGGAUCAUGAAAAGAAUAUCAUAUGUGAUAGUUAUAUUGUUGAAUUUAAAUAUGAUCCCACAUGUAAUUAUUAUGAGAGAGGAAAAUAUGGUUGUAGAAAUUUUCAUAUCACUAAAUCACCUCUCGUUAUGUUGAGAUUGCUAUUGUCUCUUUCUUCUUCCUUGCAUAUGGUAACUAUUGGUUGUCUUGACAAUUUGUUUUUCUACAAAAUGCCUAUAAAUAGGAAGUAUGUUAGACUUAGAUAUGUUUUUUCACAUGUUUCAUGAUGCUCUCUUCGUGUCCGAUUGCUAUCUUUUAUGUGGGCAUCAUUGAAUUAUCAAUGCCUAGCUAAAGGGCGUUAAACGAUAGCGCUUGUUGGGAGGCAACCCAAUGGAUUUAUUUUUGCUUUUUACUUUCUGUUUUGUUGUGUCCACACCAUAAUAAUUCUGUUAUUAUUGUGUUUUUUAUGUUUUAAAUUAGUGUUUCUCCCAAGUAGAACCUUUAUGAUUAGUUUUGGUGAUAGUUGUUUAAUCAUGCUGAAAAAGACAGAAACUUUGUGCUCACGAAAUUAUUUUUAAUUCCUAUCGAGAAAGAGAUUUUGAGUUGAUUCUUUUUGGUUAUGAUUGAUAUGAGAAUUUCCCUAAUUUUCAUAAUUUUAAAGAAUUUUUGCGAUACCAGAGGUAUACUAAGUAUACAGAUUGCUACAGAGUGGUCUGUUUUUGACAUAUUCUAUUUUUGUUGUGUUGAUUGCUUAUUUUGAUGAAACUAUGGUUAGUAUCGGGGGGGUACUAGCCAUGGGAAAGUUAGAAUACAGUAAUAUAACAUAAAUCUAAAUGGAAAUCAAGUUUACUACAGUACCUAAAGAGUUUUUGUUUAAGUUUUCUGUUGUGAAGUUUUUAAGUUUUGGGUGAUGUUCUCAUGGACAAUGGAAUAAAGAGUGGAAAGAGCUUAAGCUUGGGGAUUCCCAAGACAUCCCAAGCCAAAUUCAAGGACACCAAAAAUCCUAAGCUUGGGGAUGCCCCGGGAAGGCAUCCCCUCUUUCGUCUUCAAUCCAUCGGUAACGUUACUUGGAGCUAUAUUUUUAUUCACCACAUGAUAUGUGUUUUGCUUGGAGCAUCGUGUAUUAUAGGAGUCUUUACUUUUUGUUUUGUCACAAUCAUCCUUGCUGCACACCUUUUUUAGAAGGACAUGCACUCAUGGUGAACUUGUUAGAAUACUCAAUGAGCUUCACUUAUAUCUUUUGAGUUAGGCAAUUUAGCUCGCAUGUGCUUCACUUAUAUCUUUUGAGCUAGGAAACCAAUCUUCAUGGAGAUCUAUCCGAUGUAACUUUCUUUAGCGGUGUCUUUGUCAAGAUCCGAUGAAUUGUGGAUUUAUGAUCAGAUUAUCUAUGAAUAUUAUUUGAAUCUCCUUUGAUCUCUUAUAUGCAUGAUUUCGUAUCCUUGUAAUUCUCUUCGAGUUAUGGGUUUCAUUUGGCCAACUUGAUCUAUAAUUCUUGUAAUGGGAGAAGUGCUUGGUUUUGGGUUCAUACCGUGCGGUGUUCUCACCCAGUGACAGAAAGGGUAGCGAGGCACACAUCGUGUUGUUGCCAUCAAGGGUAAAAAGAUGGGGUUUAUAUCAUAUUCCAUGAAUCUAUCCGUCUACAUCAUGUCAUCUUGCUUAAGGCGUUACUCUCUUUGUUAUGAACUCAAUACACUAGAUGCAUGAUGGAUAGCGGUUGAUGUGUGGAGUAAUAGUAGUAGAUGCAGAAAGUAUCGGUCUACUUGUCUCGGACGUGAUGCCUAUAUGUAUGAUCACUGUCUUAGAUAUCGUCAUGAAUUUGCGCGAUUCUGUCAAUUGCUCGACAGUAAUUCGUUCACCCACUGUAAUACUUGCUAUCAUGAGAGAAGCCUCUAGUGAACACUAUGGCCCCCGGGUCUACUGCACCUCCUAUAUUCAGAUCUACAAAAUUACUUUGUUGCACUUUUCACCUUCAGAUUUCACCUUGCAAAUAAUCGUGAAGGGAUUGACAACCCCUUUUUCGCAUUGGGUGCAAGUUUGUUUGUUUUUGUGCGGGUACAUUGGUUCCUCAUCUUGAUACUCCUACUCGAUUGAUACCUUGGUUCUCAAACUGAGGGAAAUACUUAUCGCUACUUUGUUGCAUCACCCUUUCCUCUUCAAGGGAAAAACCAACGCAAGCUCAAGAGGUAGCAUGGUCGUAAGGCUAUUAAGUACAAGUGGAUCUUUAAAAGGAAUACAGACGAUGAUGGUGAAUGUCACCAUUUACAAACCUCGACUUGUCGCAAAGAGGUUUCCGACAAGUUCAAGGAGUUGACUACGAUUAGAUUUUCUCACCCGUAGCGAUGGUAAAAUCUGUUGGAAUUAUGUUAGCAGUUGCUGCAUUUUUCAAUUAUGAAAUCUGACACAUGGAUGUCAAAACAUGGUUUCCUCGACGGUUUUCUCGAGGAAAUGUUGUAUGUGAUACAACCAAAAGGUUUUGUCGAUCGUAAGGAUGCUGACAAGUAUGCAAACUCCAGCGAUCCGUCUAUGGACUUGAGCAAGCAUCUUGGAGUUGUAAUAUGCGCUUUGAUGAGAUUCUCAAAGCUUUUAGGUUUAUACAAAGUUUAUGAGAAACUUGUAUUUACAAGAAAGUGAGUGGGAGCACUAUAGAAUUUCUGAUAAGUAUAUGUGGUUUACAUAUUGUUGAUCGAAAAUGAUGUAGUAUUUAUGUAAAGCAUGUAGAGUUGUUUGAAAGGUGUUUUUCAAAGAAAAAACUAGAUUAAGCUACUUGAACACGAAGCAUCAAUAUCUAUAGAAAUAGAUCAAAUUACUUGAUAAAACUUUCAAUGAAUACAUACCGCGACAAGAUUUUGAAGAAGUUCAAAANGCAGAAGAAAGAGAAGGGACGAAGGUCGUCCCCUAUGCCUUAGCCAUAGGCUCUAUAGUAUGCCAUGUUGUGUACCGCACCUGAUGUGUGCCUUGCCAUGAGUUUGUCAAGGGGUACAAAGAGUGAUCCAUGAAUGAAUCGCUGAACAUCGGUCAAAUUUAUCCUUAGUAACUAGCGGACUAAGAAAUUUUUCUUGAUUAUGGAGGUGAUAAAAGAGUUCGUCGUAAAGGGUUACGUCGAUGCAAACUUUGACACCAAUUUGGAUGACUCUGAGCAGCAAACCGGAUUCGUAUAGUGGAGUAAUCAUUUGAAAUAGUUCCAAGUGGCACGUGGUAGCAGCAUCUACACGAUGACAUAGAUAUUUGUAAAGCACACAUGGAUCUGAAAGGUUCAGACCCGUUGACUAAAACCUCUCUCACAAGCAAAACAUGAUAAACCCUAGAAAUUAUUAUGUGUGAAUCACAUAGUGAUGUGAACUAGGUUAUUGACUCUAGUGCAAGUGGGAGACUUUUGGAAAUAUGCCCUAGAGGCAAUAAUAAAUUAGUUAUUAUUAUAUUUCCUUGUUCAUGAUAAUCAUUUAUUAUCCAUGUUAUAAUUGUAUUGAUUGGAAACUCAAAUACAUGUGUGGGUAUAUAGACAACACACUGUCCCUAGUGAGCCUCUAAAGACUAGCUCGUUGAUCAAAGAUGGUCAAGGUUUCCUGACCAUAGACAUGAGUUGACAUUUGAUAAUGGGAUCACAUCAUUAGAAGAAUGAUGUGAUGGAAAAGACCCAAACUAUGAACGUAGCAUGUGAUCGUGUCAGUUUAUUACUACUGUUUUCUGCAUGUCAAUUAUCUAUUUCUAUAACCAUGAGACCAUGCAACUCCCGGGCACCGAAGGAAUGCCUUGUGUGUAUCAAACGUCACAACGUAAUUGGGUGACUAUAACGGUGCUCUACAGGUAUCUCCCAAGGUGUCUGUUGGGUUGGUGUGAAUCGAGAAUGGAAUUUGUCACUCCAUACGACGGAGAGGUACCUCUAGGGCCCACUCGGUACUACAACAUCACAAUGAGCUUGCAAGCAAUGUGACUAAAUAGUUGGUCACGGGAUCUUGUAUUAUCGAACAAGUAAAGAGACUUGCCGGUAACGACAUUGAAUUAGGUAUGGAGAUACCACGAUUAAAUCUUGGGCAAGUAACAUACCAAUAGACAAAGGGAACAACAUACGAAAUUAACUGAAUCCUUAACAUAGAGGUUCGUAGAAUAUGUAGGAGCCAAUAUGGGCAUCCAGGUCCCACUAUUGGUUAUUGACAGGAGAGUGUCUCAAGCCAUGUCUACAUAGUUCUCGAACCCGUAGGGUCUGCACACUUAAGGUUCGGUGACAUUUCGGUAUAGUUGAGUUAUGUAUGUUGGUGACCGAAGGUUGUUAGGAGACCCGGAUGAGAUCCCGGAUGUCAUGAGGAGUUCCGGAAUGCUCCGGAGACGAAGAUUGAUAUAAAGGAAAGAGGUAUAUUGGUUCCGGAAAGGUUUCAGGCACUAUCGGUAAAGUACCGGGAGUGACGAACGGGUUCGGUGGGUUCACUAUCGGUAAAGUACGUGGUGGGCUGGGCGGCCAGCCCCUAUGGGCAUUGCUACUGCAACAAAAGACCUUCCAACGGCGCCAGAAAUGGGAGUGUUGCUUGAUACUCCUCAGCAACGGCACCAGGAAUCCUUCAGCCGCGGCUACGCCUUAAGGGACUUCCUAGGCAAGUACGCAAAGGAUUUCCCCCGUGGCCUUGGAGCCUUGCGUUGGUGUUCCCUCGAAGCGGAAAGGGUGAUGUAGCGUAGCGGUGGUAAGUACUUCCCUCAGUUUGAGAACCAAGGUAUCAAUCCAGUGGAGGAGUAUCUCAAGAUCCUGCACAAACACAAAAACUUUCUCCCAACGCUAUGAAGGGGUUGUCAAUCCCUUAUAGAUUGUUUGCCAAGUGAGAACUGAAAGCAACAAAGUAACAAAGCAAAGUAAAAGCAGAGGUGUAAACGAUGGAUGUGAAUAGACCCGGGGGCCGUAGUGUUUACUAGUGGCUUCUCUCAUGAAAGCAAGUAGACGGUGGGUGAACAAAUUACUGUCGAGCAAUUGAUAGAACCGCGCAAAGUCGUGACGAUAUCUAUGCCAUGAUUGUUUUAUAGGCAUCACGUCUGAAACAAGUAGACCGAUACUUUCCGCAUCUACUACUAUUACUCCACGCGUCGACCGCUAUCCAGCAUGCAUCUAGUGUAUUAAGUCCAUCAGAACAGAGUAACGCCUUAAGCAAGAUGACAUGAUGUAGAGGGAUAAUCUCAAACCAAUGACAAAAACCCCAUCUUUUUACCCUUGAUGGCACACCUUAGACCCUGUGUGCCUUGCUGCCCCUACUGUCACUGGGAAAGGUCACCACAUGGUAGAACCCAAAACCAAGCACUUCUCCCAUUGCAAGAAUCAUAGAUCUAGUUGGCCAAACAAAACCCAAGACUCGGAGAGACUUACAAGGAUAUCAAAUCAUGCAUAUAAGAAAUCAGCAAAGACUCAAAUAUAUAUCAUAGAUAAUCUGAUCACAAAUCCACAAUUCAUCGAAUCUCGACAAACACAUCGCCAAAGAAGAUUACAUCGGAUAGAUCUCCAUGAAGAUCAUGGAGAACUUUGUAUUGAAGAUCCAAGAGAGAGAAGAAGCCAUCUGGCUACUAACUACGGACCCGUAGGUCUGAAGUGAACUACUCACGAGUCAUUGGAGGGGCGAUGAUGAUGAUGAAGAAGCCCUCCAAUUCUAAAGUCCCCUCCGGCAGGGUGCCAUGAAGGGUCUCCAGAUGAGAUCUCUCGGAAACGGAAGCUUGCGGCGGCGGAAAAGUAUUUUCGAGGCUCCCCGGAUUUUUUGCGGAAUAUUUGGGAAUUUAUAGGCCAAAGACCUAGGUCAGGGGGCGGCCAGGGAGGCCACAAGCCUGCCCACCGCUGCCUCCCCCUAGUGGGGACUUGUGGGCUCCCUGGAGCCCACCUGGCUUGGCCCAAAAGCCCCCUGGUCUUCUUCCGUUCGGGAAAAAAUCGUUUCGGGGUUUUUCUUCCGUUUGGACUCCGUUCCAAAAUCAGAUCUGAAAAGAGUCAAAACACGGAAAAAAACACGAACUGGCACUUGGCACUAAAUUAUUAAGUUAGUCCCAAAAAAGAUAUAAAAGGUACAUAAAACAACCAAAGAAGACAAGAUAACAGCAUGAAACCAUAAAAAAUUAUAGAUAUGUUUGAGACGUAUCAGGCAUAUGCGCCCAAAGUGAGGAGGUGGAGAGGAGUCUGAAUAGGAGAUGGACUCCUCCUAGCGUCGCCGACCCCAAUUUGGUGGCACUCGUCACGGCCCCAAUGUGGUCAUGGUGCGCGACCCGGCCCCAAUUAGGUCAUGGCGCCACCCCUUCCCCUCCCUCCUAUAAAUAGGGGAGAGGAGAGAGGCGGCCAGACCUGAAAAGGUUACGGCGCGCAGACGCCCCAAUUAGGUCAUCGCACAGCUUUCUCUCCCUCCUCUAGUUCGUUCCACCUCUAGAUUGGUUCAGCAGUACACGACGAAGCCCUGCCGGAUCAGCUCCACCACCAUCUCCACCACACCGUUGUGGUGGCGGAGAACUCGUUUACCUCUCCACCCUUUCUUGCUGGAUCAAGGAGGUGGAGAUCGUCAUCGAGCUGUACGUGUGCUAAAAGCGAAGAUGUUGUCCGUUCGGCACUAGAUCGGGAUGGAUCAUGAUGGCAUCACGGGAUGGAUCGUGAUGGCAUCGCGGGACGGAUCGUGAUGAGAUCGCGGGACGGACUACGAUUUGGAUCGCGAAGAUGUUCGACUACAUAAACAAUGUUAUAUACGCUUCGGCUUAGCGAUCUCCAAGGGUAUGUGGAUCCGAACUCUUCUCUCGUAGAUGGUCAUCACCAUGGAUAGAUAUUAUGUGUGCGUAGUAAAAAAAAUUGUUUCCCACACAACGUUCUCCAAAAAAAGCACCUAGUUUACAACAGAAAAUCUAUGCAAACUCCAUAGCCUGAUCCUCUUCCACAUUAAUGUUCAUAAGGUCACUCUUGUGGAAGGUUAUUUUCACGCCGGAUAGGUUUUAAAAACAGGCCAACAACCAUUUGAAGUGCCUAGCUUUAUGUACAAAAUUCUCCAGAAAGAGAAUAGUAUCAUCUGCAUAUUGCAAACUCACCACCCCUCCUAGAAUGAUACGAGGCAAAAGCCCCGCAAUCAAACCCUGAUUAGCAGCUUUUUGAAGCAUUUUGUAAAAGACAUCAGCAACCAAGUUAAAGAGCAUAGGCGAGGAUGGGUCCCCGUGUUUAAGCCCUUUACCCCAACAAAAUGAGGACCAAUCGAAUCGUUAAUUUUCACACUAAAAGUGAUAUUCAUCAAAAUACUUUUCAUCCAAGAAAUCCAUCUAGCCCCAAAACCUCUCGAAUGAAGCAUUUCAAACAGAAAUUCCCAGCUCACCCUAUCAUACGCUUUCUCAUAAUCAACUUUUAGAACUAAGCCCUGUGAUCGAGAUUUCUUAACCUCAUGGAUGACCUCAUGAGCCAUAACCACUCUCUCUAAAAUAUAUCUCCCCUUAAUAGACGUUGUUUGGUUAGAGGAGAUAAGCCUAUGGCCAACAGGGGCAACUCUGGUAGUCAUAGCCUUAGACAAAAUUUUAAUCACACAAUUACUCAGACUAAUAGGCCUGAAUUUUUUCUUUUCCUUGGCAUUGGGUUCUUUCGGGAUAAGCACAAUUAACGCAAAGUUUAAUUUGUGCAACUCUAAUUUACCCAGCUCAAAAUCUCUAACCAAAGCAAUGAAAUCAUUUUUGAUCACGUCCCAAAAGGAUUGAUAAAAUAAGAAAGAUAAACCAUCCGGGCCAGGGGCCCCGUUGGCAUAACUGCCAAAAAUUGCAUUUUUGAUCUCCUCUUCGAUAAAGUUUUUCUGAAGAAUUUCAUUCUCCUCCUCGGUAACCAUGUCCUGCUCCUCCUAGAAGGAAGCGCCAAGGUUAAUAUUAAGUUUAGAUUCGAAACCAAAAAGGUUCUUGUAAAAGGAUGUUGCAAUUUCAAGCAUCCCCUCAGUAGUCUGAACUGGACCAUUGUCUCCAUUUAGUCCAGCAAGGUGGUUCUUCUGAUGUCUAUGGUUAGCCAUUGCAUGGAAAUAUGCAUUAUUCCUAUCCCCAUCAAUAAUUCGACGAUCUCGGGAUCUCUACCACAAGGCAGUUUCCUCCUGUUUCCAGAACAGAUCAAGCUCAGAUUUAAUCUAAUUCAGUGUAGAUCUAUCCCGCGCAUUCAAUUGGUUACUUUCUGAAAAAACAUCAAGGGUGUCAAAUUCCAGCAUAAGCUCUCUUUUAUUUUUCUUCAAACUAGCCUCCACGUUAAUACUGCAGCCUUUAAUCUUUUUGCAAAGGAGUCUAGUUUUGUUCGUCCAUCUGUACAUGGCACUAUCACGUGGGGUUGAAGUAUUCCAAAUCUUAACCACCAGGUCUCUAAAGCCAGGUUGGUCUAACCACCAUUUUUCAAAAUGAAACAAUUUCACGGAGGUAACCCUGCGAGCCCCGGUGUCAAGAAUCACACGGGUGUGGUCACUACCCACUCCGAGCAAGCCUGUCAACACUAACAAUGGGAAAUGGGCAUCCCAAGAUGUAGAAACCAGCACAUGAUCAAUAGUAGCAAACAUAGAAUUUUCCUGGUUGUUCUCCUACGUAUAACUCCUAUUAGCAAUAUUGAUCUCCAUCAAAGCCCAUUUAUUUACCCAGUCAUUAAACAAAUAAACUAACUGAUUAUUGACCACCCCAUUAUUCUUGUGUGCAGCGGAGCAAACUAAAUUAAAAUCACCCCCAAAAACGAUUGGAUGUGAGAGUCCAGCCAUAACCUCAUGAAGCUGUGCUAUAAAUUCCAUUUUAAACUUGUUAUAGGUUGUACCGUUAAUCGCCACUAGAUGCCACACAAAACCAUCACUUUUGCUCUUAACAGUAGCAACACAACAUAGUUUUUUAUCCACAAAACCUAUAGUCUCAAACAACUCAUUAUUCAGACCCGCAAGGAUCCCCGCAGCAGUGUUAGCAGCAGGAAGCGAAUGCCACGUAAAAUCCCUACCGCCAGUAAUAUUUUUUAAAAUGUGGUCACCAAUCACCUCCUUCUUGGUCUCAAAGAAACCAACAAAGUCAACUUUAUUAGUUUUCAGAAAAUCACCAAGGCACUGUAAUUUACCACGUUUCCAAAAGGCCAGAAUAAUUUGAUUUUAAAAGGGUGUAAUACCCACAAGGCUUAGAUUUUGUAUGCAGUUUAGGCUUCUCCACCUCCGCCUCUAAAGUGCCCCCUACUGCGAAAGGUGAGAAAGACCUAGUAUCACUCUCAAGCUGCCCAAAAUCUAUGUCUAGAUUAUCAGGGAGAACAAUAUCGGUGUUGCUAUUAGCGAAUUGAAUGCCUUUAAUUUUUUCCUCAUCAAUCAUUUCAGUAAUGAUAUUAAUCCAUUCCACCUCAUCACAACCAAUGCAAAAAAUCAACACUAUUUGUAUGAGAAAUUAAAGUUUCAGGAGCAAUGGCAGCAAAUGAUUUACCUCUGAAUGUAGCUGGGAUUUCGAGGUUCUUUUUCUACAUAUAUGCAGUAGCUUUGUCCAUGAUCUUGACUCCUCCAUGAUCCCUGGUAUUUGGUUUGUUAUCGAGGAGAUGCCGCCAAGUUGCAACCAUCCGAGGGUUGAACUUUUUAUUCUGCCCAGCUACUUUUUCCACAGUGUCCCGCGAAGAUCUUAUGGGAGACCCCAGAACAACAGAAAUCUCUUUUGCAAGGCAUUUCAUCUCAGGAAGCAUGUUCUCUUCCUCAUCACGAGACUCCAUCAUAUCAAAUUUGCGAAGCUUUUCAGACCAGUAGUCUAGAUGGACCGACAUAGGCAUAGCACUAGUACAGAGGGGUGACACAACAUCCACACCCAGACCCUCAACCUCAUCUAUCUCUAGAGCCAUCAUAUCUUAUGUAGGGAGAGAUUUCCUAAUUUCAUCAACGAAAUCCUCAUGAAUCUCAUCCACCAAAAUGUGUGGGUGUAUAUCAGCUGCAGAAACAACACAUACUUGGCCACUUUUACUACUACUCCCAGUCUCCAUGCUUUUGGACUGAAAGUUAGCUCUAUCUAUCUCAUUAAUAGCUUCAUCCUCUUCAUCAUCUCCCAGAUCCUCUCUCUCACCCUCUUCUCCAUGUUCUCCCCCAUCUCCCUCAUGAUUGUCCUUAUCAGGAUCCAAAUCAUCACCAUCAGAAUCUUCUCCAAUUUGUUCAAACCCUUCCACAGUAAAAAAAAUUAGGAUGUAUAGUUUACUAUUCAUCUCCACCAGUCUCUUAAAGGGGAUUUUCCUGGGGUCUAUGCAAGCAACUUUGAUUCUGAUUGUUUCAUAGAAACUAUUGAAAAUCCCAUUCCAGUCCACAUUCACAAGGAUGCCAAAACAAGCAGAAACUUUAGAAAAAUUCUUUGUUAGGGCAUAUUUCUCCAUAUGUGGUUUUGGUAAUUGAUGACAAUCCCUAUGGACUAAUGGUUGCAUUGAGUUAUAUUCGAAGGAUUUGUCCAUAGGCACUUAUUGAAGUCCAUCUCUUGCUUUCAAGGAGUUUAUAUGAUGACCAAGGUGGUAUUCAAGGUAUUAUCCGAAGAAUGGUCAUAAAGACACAAGGUUGAUCAAGACUAAGACAAAGAGUAAAUCAAGUUGAUCAGCACACAAAGCAUACAAGAUGUACCAAGAGGGAUCAAGUGAUCCCAUGGUAUGGCAAGCAUUGUCCAUUACGCUUUUGUGUACUAACCCAUGGUCUUCGUAAGAGUUCUAUGUGGGGUUAGGUGUGUUUCCAUGGGCUUGCGUCAAGACGAAGAUCUCAUACAACCCAUGGAGGAGGAUGUCAAGUGGUGAUUGUCAUCAAGAUUGCGGUGUGCAAGUUCAAGUGGAGCAUCACGAAGAUAUCUUGCUUGAAGCUUGCCAUCCAUUGUGGUAGCUAUGGGUUUGUGAAGAUGUGUUGAAGAGUGGCUCACCCAUAGUGAGUAUGGGGGAGCAAUCAACUAGUUUUCAUCAAACCAACGCAAUCAAGAAAGGCGGUCCAUCUUGAGGAAGCCAAGAUCAUCAUCAUCUAGAUCAAGAGGACUAGGUGCAAGGUGGUCCAUAUUGAGUGGCCAUCUUAAAUGGCCUAAAAGCAUAUAUAACCGGACUUGGCAAUUCGACUCUCCUAAACAUUUCUGGAUGCGCCCGGACACGACCUUCAUCACCGCGAGAUGGCCCUUGAUAUGUCUUGCAGGACAACCAUGCUCCUCAAAUAUAACCCCUCAAUCCAUGCAUGUGGAUCAUAUAGCACAAAUUCAUCACAACUCAACAAUGCAAGAAAGCAAAAUAAGAUGACAGUUCAACAGUCGAGGCAUGUCAAAAUAAAAUUCAAAUUCGGGCCACAACUGGCCAACGUGAUGAAUCACUCCAACGGGCGCCAUCUGUGUCACGUCCUUCAUAUACGCCUUGUGCUGUGCGGGGCCGCCAUCCAUUCCACCCCCAUUGCUGCCAUCGCUCUUCCUGCCCCAUUCUCCCUAUCUUGGUUUAUCUCCUUCCUCUUUCCCUCGAGCCACUUCCUUCCUUGCUCAUCCAAGAAACUUGCAUCCAUCAACAUAGUCCUCAAAUUCUCAAUGUCUCGAGCAAGUUGUGACCUCUCCUUCUCAAGAUUUAUUGAUCCAAAAGUCUGGGCUUUCUCGAGCUCACAUUUAAUACCUAAGCUUCUCUAAAACCUUUCAAACCUUAGGACCCGUUUUUAAGCUUAUGUGUGAACAACUGACAAACCAUGUCUCUAGUAUUUUUUGGGUUGAGUGAUCAGCGGUGCCGCCUUUUCAUUAAUGGAUCAUUUGUCACCCCUCAUUUUAUUUAAUUUGGUAGAAAUGGGAUUUUUUGAAAUGGAAAUCCAAUUGCAAAAACAUGUUUGGCUGCCACAUGGAUUCUGGAUCGAAAUGAUUUCCACUUAUCAUGCAUGGCCACCAUUUUGGCAUGAGUUGAUAAAUACAUACCAAGUUUGGCUUCAAAAUGAGCUUUAUAAUAGACUAACAUCGUCUUUCUAAAAUUUAUAAAAUUUGUGCCAACAUGAAACAAGUUUCGACACACAAGUUACAAAAGAUCUCCAUAAAGCAUAAACCCCCAUAAUCGAAUUUGAAAAAAUGCAUAGUCAAUAAACACCAUUAAAUCUUGGGUGACUAGGUAUGAGAGUGCGUCGGGGGAUGAGCUCUAUGAGUUAUCAAGGGCCUCGCUUCGGUGGUUCUCUGGUGAUGGGACGACCCAGUUCCUCUAGAUGGGGCGGCGGCAGCAGAACUCCUAGGCGGCGCUUUCGAAGGAGACGAGGACGUCACGGGCGGGUGGAUACGGGUGUCGGCGUCAAAACCGGUAGAUCUCGGGUAGGGAGUCCCGAACAGUAGACCUCGGAUAUAUGGGUUGCACGAGAGAAGGGGAGACAAUGUUUACCCAAGUUCGGGCCCUCGUGAGGAGGUAAAACCCUACGUCUUGCUUGAUUAUAUUGAUGGGGAACGAUGAUUACAAAGUUGAUCUACCUCGAGAUCGUAUGAGCUAUCCCCUAGAUGAGAUAAACUGCCUCUAUACAUAAGAACAUCUGGUUUAUAUAGACACCAAGGCUCCUAGGUUACAUGUUACCGACCUUAGUCGAGGAUAGUCAGGUCGAACUGGUCCUCCUGACUUGAAGUGCAUGCCUAGUCUUUGGAGCUUUCCAUCUUGAUUACGAAGCUCUCAGAUAAUCCGAUCUUCAAUGUCGCAGCCAAUAUGGUCGGCCCAUAAGUGAUAACCCGACCGCCCGAGAACCCCUUAAUCUGGAACUUCCUCAGUAGCCCCUGAACUGGCCUUCAACGCUGAUGUGUACGGUCUUCGGAAGUCGAACACUUAGAAUAAUCGGCUUGCACGACGAGUUCCUCCUAUGAUCGACUGGUAUCGGUUUAUUCGCUCCAACGACAUCGUGUUCUCAAAACGGGUGUCAUUGAAUCUAAAGGCUUUAAAGGCCGAGAGGUGAAGAGACCCUUAUCUGAAAAUUCUUCUCACGAAAAGUCAUGGUAACAAAUUAUGAGAAAAACUCGAAUCGCGGCUCAAGCCCACUUUCCCCAGGGCAUGUUCUAUCAACAAAAGAAAUAGUGUCCCGCAUGUAAGGGAAUUCGAAUGAACGACCGAGGCCAACCCACCCACGUUCAACGGCAUGGUCGUUUGGAGAAGUGGCGGAGCUGGCGGUAGAGUAAGCAGAAACCCUUGGCUUCACGACCUCCCUUAAAAAGGGGGAAAAGAUCCAAAACCCACCAGAGGCAUUCCAGACUCUACUCCCUCUCCUUCCAAGCUCAAGCACCCAGAUCCAUUCCAUUUCCCACCCUUGUCAGCCGUCCUCCUUCCCCGGCUUUAGCAAUGGCCGUCUCGGGCUCUAAGGGCAAGUGGGAGAUCUCCUGCUUCUCCGACAGGGACAUCCAUGAGCUGAAGCACUGUUGUUAAGGCAUAUUUCUCCAUAUGUGGUUUUGGUAAUUGAUGGCAAACCAUAUGGACUAAUGGUUGCAUUGAGUUAUAUUCGAAGGAUUUGUCCAUAGGCACUUCUUGAAGUCCAUCUGUUGGUUUCAAGGAGUUUAUAUGAUGACCAAGGUGGUAUUCAAGGUAUUAUCCAAAGAAUGGUCAUAAAGACACAAGGUUGGUCAAGACUAAGACAAAGAGUAAAUCAAGUUGACCAGCACACAAAGCAUACAAGAUGUACCGAGAGGGAUCAAGUGAUCCCAUGGUAUGGCAAGCAUUGUCCAUUACCCUUUUGUGUACUAACUCAUGGUCUGCGUAAGAGUUCUAUGUGGGGUUAGGUGUGUUUCCAUGGGUUUGCGUCAACAGGUUUACCCUUGACAAUUUUUCUAUUUUAGUAUAGAUUGUUGUACUGUCAAGGGGGGCUCUCAAGUGAGUAGCUUGAUCGUAUCGUUCGUUGAGUGCUCAAACCAUUUGCAUCCUUGCAUCAUAUUUAUUGGUUCUUAUUUGGUGUUUCUCUUUGUGAGUUUUAGAGCUUAUGGUCAUCUUCGUUACAAGCUCGAGUUCAUCGAAAACAGAGUCCAUAUGCAUCUUCUAUGAUGUUUUCGAUGUUGGAAGUUUUUUGCCUGUUCUUCAUUCAUAGAGGUCUCACAUCUCUAUAUCAUUGGCAUUUUUCAUAAAUACGUGUUGGAUAGCUCGUGUCGUCGUGAAUCCAACAAGCUUGAGUUUUCUCAAUUCGGAGCUCAUAUGCGAAAGUUAUGGUCGUUUUCGUAUUUCAUGUUGUCUUCCUCACUGACCAGUUGUACCGCUGCCAUCGGCGGUUGUACCGCUCAACCCCUGGGCGGUUGUACCGGCCCAGCACUGGUCCACAACUAGUCACGGCUCUAUUUAGCUGCAGUAGUUGGGCAGUGGUGGCCCGGUUGUACAGCUAUAUUAAAUAUAGCCGAUACUACAGGUGUUCCAAGUGGUUGUACCGCUUGGGACUUAGCCACGCCCAGCGGCCAAGUUUCUAUUUUGGUGCGGUUCUUGGGCGGUGGUUGGGCGGUUGUACCGCUAUAUUACAUAAACCGGUUGUACCGCCCGCAUCACCGGUUGUACCACCCUUGUGUAUUUCUACACAUAACACGCAGAUUUGUGGGGACCUAUUUAAGGGGUCUUCUUCCCCAAUGGUUCGUCAUCUCUUAAGCUCAUUUUUGCCCCCCAUUGCUGACCUUCUUAGAGCUUGCUAACACUCAAUCCCUCCAAUGAUUCUUGCUCAUUUUUGAGGGAAAAGAGAGAGGAGAUCUAGAUCCACAUUUCCACCAAUCACUUUCUCCUCAAAGUGAGGGGAACCCCUUGGAUCUAGUUCUUGGAGUUCUUGGUGUUCUUCUUUGUUCUUCCUCUCAUUUUCCACCAUAGCAUUAGUUGUUGUGGUGGGAUUUGGGAGUGAAGGACUGGGGCACUCUGUGUGCCCUUGCCAUUGCAUUUGGUGCAUAGGUUUGAGUUCUCCACGGUGAUACGUGGAAGUGAAGUUUGAGAAGCUUAUUACCCUAUGGUACUUGGUACCCUAGAGAUUGUUCCUCGUGGAUGCUUUGGCGUCCUAGAAGCUUGGUGGUGCCUCGAAGCUCAAUCAUUGUGGUGUAAAGCUCCGAGCAAGCGUCAGGGUCUUCAAUUAAGUUGUAGAGAUUGCCCCGAGCAUUAGUGGUCACCUCGAAGCCACAUGCCAUUAUGGUGAAGCUUCAUGGUGUUGUUGGGAGCCUCCAAUUAAGUUGUGGAGAUUGCCCCAACCUUGUUUGUACGGGUUCAUUCACCGCCCUCAAGAGUCCCUUAGUGGAAUCACGACAUCUUACAUUGUGCAAGGGCGUGAGGAGAUUACGGUGGCCUUAGUGGCAUCUUGGGGAGCAUUGUGCCUCCACACCGCUCCAAACGGAGAUUAGCAUCAGCAAGGGUGCGAACUUUGGAUACAUCGUCGUCUCCGUGUGUCUUGGUUAUCUCUUAUCCGGGCUCUUUAGUUAUGCACUUUACUUUGUGAUAACCAUAUUGUUUCUUGUUAUAUAUUUUGCUAUCACUUAGUUGUUUAUCUUGCUUAGCAUAAGUUGUUGGUGCACAUAGGUGAGCCUAGUUGUUUUAGGUUUUGUGCUUGACAAAUUAAACGUUAGUUUUAUUCAGCAUUUGUUCAAGCCUAAAUCGUAGUUAUUUUAAAGCGCCUAUUCAUCCCCCCUCUGGGCAACACCCACGUCCUCUCAACCUUCCAUGCACACCACUUUGGAGAAAUCCCUUCAAUCUGUACCCACGCUUCACUAAGCUCCCCAAAAGGGUCUAGCAUGCCUUGUCAUUCAAAAAUUUUAACAGAAACACCAUCAAUAGGUAGCUCAAAAGCAGGAAAUUUGAUCAGGUCAUUCACAUUUUUCCAAGGAGGGAACCUCAGCACAAUUUUUUUCUCCUCUAGUUCUCUCAUCUUCCACGGCCAAUCUUUGUUCUUACAAAAGAUGCCAUUCAAUUGUGUUAAGAGCUCCCAAGCACAAACUUCUCCCUUUAUCACCUUAAGAAUGGCACAAUUUUUAUAGUUCAACCAAUUUGACUAAGUAGCCAGAGGAGUGUCAAUGUGGUAGAACCCUCAACCGACGGCUGCACUUCCAAAGUAAGUAGCAGUGGGUUGUGGUUUAGCCCAUGCAACACAGUUGUUCACAUUGUGACAACCCACACAUAUGAAGCAUCUUUUUGGCUCAAUGCAAUUCCCCACGUAGUGACCCGACCAACUACAACUAAAACAUAUCAUAUCUUUGUACGUGGGGUCUAGAGCUUGCACGUCAGGGGGCUGAGGGGGUGCAGGGAGAUUGGUAGUUGGGGGCGGGGCGAGAGUAGGAGCAACAACAUUAUGUUUCCCCCCAACCCCAGCCUUGGGCACCGGCACAGCUUUCGGCUGAUUUCCAACACGGGCUGCUUUGGUGUCUUGAAGAUUCUUCUUGCCUGGAGGAGGCCUCCGAUUCCGCAUCUGGUUCAUGUGCCCUUAUUCUCCAUCUCUCCCCGAACUACUUGAGCGAACGAUCUAGAUCGAGGGGCACCCGCCUCAGUGGAAAGCUUAAAAUUCAUAGGGGCAGGGUCAAAUCGACUCACAGCUUGUAAACUUCUUUGCUAGGAACAAGUCCUUCCUCACCCACAAGAGUUUGGGGAUUGAGAAACUAGGGUUUGGAGGGCAGGCAUCAGUCUUCGCAUCAGUCUUAUAAUGACGUUGUUGACGGCAUGGGGACGGAACAACCCACAGCUGCCCAAAAAAGCCUGUUACCUGCUCUGAAACCCCGUGGGCCAGGUGAGAAGACACAUUUUCCCUUUGCGCCUUCUUCGUGACCACACAUCCACGGAUAACUGGAGCGGGGAUAAUCAGAUGGCUGCCAACUAGGCUUGGCCAGUUCUAAUCAAUCUCCCCCCAAUCGCACAAGCGAUCUCUUAAACAUCCCCUGGAAUUUCAAUACCACCCAAACUAGCAUCAAUAGGAUUAUCUCUACCAACGAAAUCAGAUCCCAAACCACCCUGAGGGACAACCCUCAAAUCAGAGUCAUACUUCACUAUGUAUCUAAUUUUUUCCCGAUAAAAAUGAGGACGAGAGCUGAAAUGACUGACCUUAUCGGAGGAACUUGAGAUCCCUCCACGAUCCCCCGGCCAGGGAGACGGUUCCAAAUUGCCCCGCCAUGGCCUCCUAACAGGGGCAAGCACCUUCAAGGAACCCCGGGAAGCACCGUCCCCGGCGACAGAAGAUCCAGAGGGAUCCUUGCGAUUUCCACCAUCGGAGGUGGAAGAAUGUUGAGCCUGGAUGGGUUCCUUGUCCUGAACCGCAUCCACCGCUCCGCUUGCACAGGAUCUGCGAACUCUGCCUCUUGAAUCGCCUAGAAGAGCAUCUCGAAGUCCAUCCCCCCGUCGCCCCCCACGAACCGCAUCCGCUCCACGAACUCCGAACUCCGGAUAAUCUCCACGCAGAUCUCCGGCCACCUUGUGUGGUCGGGGAAUCUCUCCCGCACCAGGCGUGGCAUCUCCACGGCAUCUCCGUCGCCGGAAACGACCGCGGCGACACCGACAAUGGCGUCGCAACGGAGCCUCCGCCUCCAGAGCUGGUGGCGGCGCCACCAGAUGUGCGUGCCACGCCCGUCUCGACCUCGUCCUGCGUCACGAUCCCCCCACCAUCUCGAUCUAGGCGAGUCAGAGGAGGGUGGGAGAGAGUGCGGGAGGCACAAAGGAGGCGAGAAGGUGGGAUGGAUGUAGGCGAGAGGGAUGCGUGCCCCUUAAUGGCCCCGAGAUCGUCAUUAAUGGUGUUAGGUGGAGCGUCGGGAGUCGCCUCGCG